CCUACGGGCGGCAGCAGUGAGGAAUAUUGGUCAAUGGGCGCGAGCCUGAACCAGCCAAGUAGCGUGAAGGAUGACUGCCCUACGGGUUGUAAACUUCUUUUAUAAAGGAAUAAAGUGAGUCACGUGUGCCUUUUUGUAUGUACUUUAUGAAUAAGGAUCGGCUAACUCCGUGCCAGCAGCCGCGGUAAUACGUAGGGAGCAAGCGUUAUCCGGAUUUAUUGGGUGUAAAGGGUGAGUAGACGGGAAGUCAAGUCUGUUGUGAAAUUCCUCGGCUUAACUGAGGAAUUGCAACCAAAACUAACGUGCUUGAGUGCGGGAAAGGAAAGUGGAAUUCGUAGUGUAGCGGUGAAAUGCGUAGAUAUGAGGAGGAACACCAGUGGCGAAGGCGACUUUCUGGACAGUAACUGACGUUGAGGCACGAAAGUGUGGGGAGCAAACAGGAUUAGAUACCCGAGUAGUC
rnacentral:rRNA from 1 species